rnacentral:lncRNA from 1 species
UAGGAGGUACACAUCUAAGCACAUCUGUGGUGUUUUCAGAUAAAUUCAACUGUGUAAGGAAGAUCCAGUUACAUGUGGGCAACGGCAGCCAAUGGGCUGGGGCCUGAGAAUCAGCAUUCAUCCGUUUCUUGACUGUGUGACAGCCUGAAUCCAACCUCAGUGUGCCUCUGUCAGGUAUUUUUCUCAGUGUGAAUCUGCACUAGUGCCUGACUCUCACCCAUCUCUUCCUGCUCACAGCCUGCCCCCCUUCAGUACUGCAUGGGCUUUGGGGGUCCAUCUCCCCACUGUCGCUCCAGUCCACCCACCCAGUAUCACUGCCUCUCCCAGGUGACUCUAAGCUGCUCCAAACACCUCAGGUCUGUUCUUGUCUGCGUCACCCCCCAACCCCCAGUGUGUCCAGCAGAGUUCCCCUCCGCUUGGCCAGCUUCAUAAACAUUUGCUGAGUUGAGCUAGCUCCCACCUGGCCUGCUGCCAGGCUGAGAGUUGGAGAAAUUAAACAGCUUGCACCAGGUGGGAAACUAUGCUCACAGCCCCCAACACAUAAUGCGACCUUUCUUUCCAUUCCUUCAAGAUUAACAGGAUAGCUGGAAGUCCCGCUGGCCAUCGGACACUCGUUCAUUAGGUGCUAACUAUGUGUCAGGCACUGGGUACUGGGAUGCGAUGGUGAACAAGACAGCCACAGACCAGCUCUCCUUGGAAACUGAGCUCAGAGGUGGAAACCAACCUAAAUAAACGUU